rnacentral:lncRNA from 1 species
CUUCUGACUUUGUAUGGCAUCUUUCCGAACUCCCUCGACCGUCCGAGCUUUCAUAAUACCAUCCGGACUUCUCCAAUAAUGAGCUCCCCCAUUCAUCUACCAGACUGCUCCAAAUGCUCUCUGGGCUUAACUAUCAGCUGAUUUUCUAUAGUGAUCGACUAUUCUCCGAAUCUCUUUCGGACUUCUACAGUAACUAGACUCCAUCCAAGUUUCUACGACGGUCGACCGCCUUCUGGAUUUCAUCUGAGCUCCUACGAGAGCCGGAUCUCUACUCCGAACUUCUAUUGCAAGCGAACUUCAUCUGAGCUCCUACAAAAGUCGGAUUCCAUCCG